rnacentral:tRNA from 1 species
CAGUUUAUAGUUUAUUUAAAAUAUAAUGUUUGGGUCAUUAAGAAUGUAACUGA